CUCAUGCAAAGCCACGAUGGCGAGAAGCAGCACCUGUUCAAACCAGAAGAUGCAAAACCACUACGUGAAUGCACGUUCUACUACCUACUGUCACACGCAUGCAAUAAAAAGUACAAUACCCUUGUAGACAUAAAAAAAAUACUAACCAUGCAUGGUGUCACCAUUGGAUUCUAUCAGUGAAGAUGUUGUUUAUGGUUUAAAAUAAUAGCUAUAUUCGAUG